GCCAAACAAGGAAAUAAACUAUCCUAUUGGCAAUGUGAACACGACAUCCACUAUUUUCCAAUUCUGUUAUGACUCGUAUAUCCUCAAUUUCCCCCAAAUUCCUUGCUUUCUGAGAAGAACGAUGAGACUGGUCAUGCCCCUCGAGAUGGUAGACGCUGAAGCGUGAUGAAGUACAGAUAACUCAGACUGUAGCCUUCGC
rnacentral:lncRNA from 1 species